rnacentral:tRNA from 1 species
CGGGGUAUAGCGCAGUCUGGUAGCGCGCCUGCUUUGGGAGCAGGUGGCCGGGGGUUCAAAUCCCUCUGCCCCGA